rnacentral:lncRNA from 1 species
AUAUAGUCAAAAAGCACCUUUUCUGUUACAUGCAUUUGAGAAGUAAAGAUGUGUAUGGUUUAGCUCCUAUGUCUCUGUACUUUGAAACAUGCCUGACUCUUGGAGAAUUUUUUUCAUAAAUUCUGUUCGCCUUUGUAUCAUAAAUCUACAAAUCAGGACCCAAAUCUAUGCAAGAUGGCUGGUGUGGUGAGGACACGCCAUUGCCUGGAAGUCGCCCCACUGGCUGGGAAGAGGAGGAGGAUGUAGAGAUUGGGAUGUGGAACAGUAGCUCAUCUCAAGAGCUUAACUCAUCCUUAAACUGGCCACCAUAUACCAAGAAAAUGUCAUCCAAGGUAAACAUUUCAAGAGCUUUGCUCUUGCAACUUCAAAUCUCCAAGGUAGUUUACCCACAGAAAAUUAAUCUAU